CAGGUGCUGCAUGGCUGUCGUCAGCUCGUGUUGUGAAAUGUUGGGUUAAGUCCCGCAACGAGCGCAACCCUUAUCCUUUGUUGCCAGCGAUUCGGUCGGGAACUCAAAGGAGACUGCCGGUGAUAAACCGGAGGAAGGUGGGGAUGACGUCAAGUCAUCAUGGCCCUUACGAGUAGGGCUACACACGUGCUACAAUGGCGCAUACAAAGAGAAGCGACCUCGCGAGAGCAAGCGGACCUCACAAAGUGCGUCGUAGUCCGGAUCGGAGUCUGCAACUCGACUCCGUGAAGUCGGAAUCGCUAGUAAUCGU
rnacentral:rRNA from 1 species